AUAAGUCCUGACAUAUAUAACUUCCUUGAAAAAAUACCGAACCAAAAUGUAUACAGAUAUGUGGACAGUCAGUAUUAUAACAACAUAUAUCAUUGUUAUGAUCACUGCAAUUUUACUUUUUCUUUGUAAAUUAAUCUCCUAGUGCUUUAUGUAAUCACAAUUUAAAUAUGUAACUAAAACUAUGUGUAAUGUGAUAGCAAUAUAGUGCAUCAAUGACACAAUUUUUAAAAUAGAAAAUGUCUUAAACUGGGACUAACUAGUUUUUCCUGAGUUAGUAAAAACCAUGAUCUAACCUGCUAAAAAACAUCUCUGGUAAAUACCAUGCUGUCCCUGCAUUUAGUGCCUCUCUGUACAAUCCCUUGUGUGAUAUGUUUUGAUCAAAGUUUUCCUUGUAUAAAUCUUACCCAUUAAUUUGAUUUAAUUUCUGCUGUUUCCAUUUUAGCAAUCUAUAACUGUCCCCUCCCCAUUUAAGGAAAAAACAUUAUUCCUCUUCUGUAUUAUACCAUAGUGUUUUGCACUUUUCUACAUCAUUAUCACAUGCAGUUUUAAUCUGAAAAAUAACUAUCUAUAAAUGGUACUUCUUAAUCCAAAAGAUGCACUCUCUGUAUGUUAGGUCCAACAAUUCUGAUUUCCACAUUCUGAAGCCUAAAGUUGUUCAAGGAAAGGAUAGUUGGGGAUGUGAAAGGAUGGGGACUUUAUCCUGUGAAGCACUGACUCUGAAAAAAACUUGGGAGUAAUGGUGAAUAAUCAGAUGAACACGAGCUCUCAGUCUAAUGUUGUGGUCAAAAGAGUGAAUGCGAUACUGGAUGUGUAAACAGGUGACUCUUGGGUAGGAGUAGGGAGGUUAUAUGACCUCUGUAUUUGGCCCUGGUGCAACUGCUACUGGAAUAUUGUUUCAACUUCUGGUGUCCACAGUUCAAGAAGGAUAUGAAUAAAUUGGAAAGGGUUCAAAGAAGAGCCAGGAGAAUAAUUAAAGGAUUGGAAAUGAUGCCUUAUAGCAUUAGACUGCAAGAGCACAAUCUGUAUAGCUUAACCUGGGGGCUAAGGGGUGACUUAUUCAUAGUCCAUAAGUACUUAUAAGGAGAACAAAACUUUGAUAAUAAAAGACUCCUCAGUGUAGCGGGAAAAGGUAAAACAAGACUUGGAAGUUGAAGCUAGACGAAUUCCUACUAGAAAUAACGAGCAAAUUUUUAACAAUGAGGGGAAUCAUUGGUACAAUUUACCAAGAACUGUGAUAGAUUCUAUAUCACAGAGAACUUUUAAAUCAAGAUUGGAUCUUUUUCUAAAAGAUAUGCUCUUGCUGAAACAGGAGUUAAUUCAUGGCAGUUUUCUACAGCCUGCAUUAUACAGGAGGUCAGACUAGCUGAUUGCAAUUUUUCUGUUUACUCUUAGUAAAUAAGAGCUCUGUGUUUGACUGAAGAGGUUGUUGGAGGAGUUGGAACUGUCAUUUUUCCUCAGUGGAAUCAUUGUGAUGUAGAAUCCCAGAGAGAAAAGGGUCUAAUCAUGAUAUUGUUGAUCGUUUAGUAGUGAAGAAGGUGUAGAAAGAAGAUCAAUUUUCCCAGGUAGGGGAGAAGCUGUUAGUCACUAAUUGUCUUUAGAUUUUUGUGUGUAGCUGUACGAACUGGGAGACGAUUAGGACUAGAGCCUGUUUUAACACUAUUGUUUUGAAAGAAUACAUUUUUACUGACUUUUAUGAAAAAUACAGUUCCUUGUUGAAUUACAUGUUGAUGAG